AUGCCCUCUCUGGCCUCUACAGAUACCAGACACUCAUGUCGUGCAUAUGCACAUACAGACAGGCCUUAUCUAAAUGCACAAGCCAUUGGAAGGAGCUCAGUUGAGAUGGCAUGGCCAGGCUUGCAUUUGAGAAAUUUGAAUCAAGGGAGAUUGUCUGGGCAAGAGCAGAGCAGCUGGCAGACCCUCUGCUAUCUGUGGAGAUUCAGCUUCUGCAGGGGAGAGGAUGAUGCACCCAGUUUUGGUCAGGCUAUACAUCAUACACCUGAGAGACAUUCAGGAUCAUGGUCCAAGAAAGGAAUCUGGAAGGAGGUGUUUCAGCCUGGCUUCAAGAAGUUAGCAUAGUUAUAAACAGAACCCAUGGAGGUGGUUGAGAUUGCUUGUUUGAAUGGGACAUCAUACAAAGCCUUGGCCCAAAAGAUUCUGGAAAUACAAACUAUGGAACAGAAAGAAACACUUGCAAAUCAAAUAUCAGAUAUCAAACAUCAAAUACCAAAGGUUUGUCUCCUGAUUAUACAAAGACCUCUCCAAAGUCAAUGAGUAAGAAUAGUCAAAUUGAACAUAUUAUUGGAAAAAGACUUAUAUAGAUAACUUCACAAAAUUGGACACACAGAAAAUUAG
rnacentral:lncRNA from 1 species